UACGUAGGUGACCAGCGUUGUCCGGAUUUACUGGGCGUAAAGAGCGCGCAGGCGGUCGUUCAAGUCGAGUGUGAAAGCCCCCGGCUCAACUGGGAAGGGUCACUCGAUACUGAUCGACUUGAAGGCAGGAGAGGGAAGCGGAAUUCCCGGUGUAGUGGUGAAAUGCGUAGAUAUCGGGAGGAACACCAGUGGCGAAGGCGGCUUCCUGGCCUGUUCUUGACGCUGAGGCGCGAAAGCUAGGGGAGCAAACAGG
rnacentral:rRNA from 1 species